ACACGGCUGGCAUUAUGAAAGCUCCCCUCUGUGCAUUUACGUAACAUUUGGCAACAAGGCAGAAUAGAAAAUACACAAGUGUCAAUCUACAUCACGUGGUGUGUUCAAGGACUGCCAGUCAUUCCAUUCAACACCCAAAGGAUGGGCUGGUAUACAGCUCCCAAUUGGCACACAAUCAUGCUGAAAAGUCGUCAAGUUUGACCGGAGGCUGCAUGAAGUAUUGGGAGUGGGGCUGGUCUGAACCUCAGGGUGCCUCAGGAUACCUUAGAUGCCAUACGCCCAACAUCGGCAUGACCUUCAUGAAGACGAGCGCUAUCAUUUUGGAACCAGAAUGCAAGCAGCAAUGCUGCAGAAAGAACGGCACUGUUUCAGCGCAACAUCGGUGCCAACAGGAAUUUUGGUGUUGCGAUGGUGUCUGAAACAGUAGAGCGAUUUUCAACUCCUUCAGAAAACAUCUCUUGUCUCAAGUCCUUCAACUCCACAAAGUAGAAGCACGUGACAAAAUCAAUAGUUACUGUAGUACGGUGGUGACAAUUGUGACUAUUCAGUGGAACGACACAGAGAAUGAAGGAAUGAGCUUGAACAGCAGGACAAGGUCAAAUGUCAACGAAACACAUCUCUUGAUUCAACUGCACAUCAUUUUGUAAAAAUGAAACCGGGAGAAUAAAGACCACUUUUGGUUGG